rnacentral:rRNA from 1 species
UACGAAGGGGGCUAGCGUUGCUCGGAAUUACUGGGCGUAAAGGGAGCGUAGGCGGAUAGUUUAGUCAGAGGUGAAAGCCCAGGGCUCAACCUUGGAAUUGCCUUUGAUACUGGCUAUCUUGAGUACGGAAGAGGUAUGUGGAACUCCGAGUGUAGAGGUGAAAUUCGUAGAUGUUCGGAAGAACACCAGUGGCGAAGGCGACAUACUGGUCCGUUACUGACGCUGAGGCUCGAAAGCGUGGGGAGCAAACAGG